rnacentral:tRNA from 1 species
UGGGCGAUCGUCCAAUGGUAAGACUGUAGACUCUGAAUCUGCCUAUGGGGGUUCGAAUCCCUCUCGCCCAGCCA